rnacentral:lncRNA from 1 species
AGAAACUUGUAAAAACUUAGUGAUGUUGCAUCUUUCAAAUAUUCCAAAUUUAUUGAUGAUUCCUUGCAAUGCCUUUGUGAUAUUAAUUUUAAUUACUUGCAUCCUUUGUUGUUCCUCUAUGAAUAUACAAAAAGCCUUAAAAAACUUACUAACAUUUGAUCCAUCUAAAACAUUCAACUUAUUCAAAGACACGUCUUCUAUUUUAUUCUACAAUGUUCAAAAAUAUCCCUUGAAAUUCUCCAAUAAGUACCUUAUGAUACUUCAAAAUACUCCAACAUGUCUAUAAAGCCUUUAAGUACUCUAUGAUAAUCUAAAUAUUACCAUUAUAUUUUAAGAUAGUCUUCAAAGCUCCAAAAAUUUAAAAUCUCUAAAAUCAAUCAUCUUGCCAUCAAAUGGACAAUCAACCCUAAUAACUACCAAUAAAAUUAAACACCUUCCACCUCAAGUUUUUCAUGUUGGAUUCACCAAAAUAUGUCAUAUUAUGUGGCAUUUGGCUUGAGAUUGAACAGGACACCCGACUAUGGAAGAUAAAAAGAAAAUUACAACAACAAGUCUUAAUAACUCUAUUAGAUUCUUAAACAAAUUACAAUUAAAGAUUAGAAAAUAUAAUCAAACAUUGAUCAAAUUCAAUCAAAAUUUUAAAGAAAUUAUAUAAGAAAUAAAAAAUAUUCCUAAAGAUCUUUUCAAGAAUCAUAAAGAAAUAAUAGAGAAAUUAAAAAAUAUAUUAAAAUAGAAAUCUUAAUUGAAUCCUAUUCAAAAACUAAUCAAAUUCUAGUCAAAUCCUACUCAAACCUUAAUCAAAUCCUAAAUAAAUCCUAAUCAAAUCCUAAAAAAUCUUAAAAAAACCUUAAUCAAAUCCUAGACAAAUUUCAAUCAAAUUCUAAAUAAAUCCUAACGAAAUCCUAA